rnacentral:rRNA from 1 species
UACGUAGGGACCGAGCGUUGUCCGGAAUUAUUGGGCGUAAAGAGCUCGUAGGCGGUCUGUCGCGUCUGCUGUGAAAACUCAGGGCUUAACCCUGAGCUUGCAGUGGGUACGGGCAGACUAGAGUGCGGUAGGGGAGACUGGAAUUCCUGGUGUAGCGGUGAAAUGCGUAGAUAUCGUAAGGAAGACCAGUGGCGAAGGCGGGUCUCUGGACAGUUCCUGGACG